UACAGAGGGUGCAAGCGUUGUUCGGAAUUAUUGGGCGUAAAGGGAGUGUAGGCUGCUUGUUAAGUCUUCUGUGAAAUCUACGGGCUCAGCCUGUAACGUGCAGAGGAAACUGGCGAGCUUGAGUGUCGGAGAGGAUAGGGGAAUACCCGGUGUAGAGGUGAAAUUCGUAGAGAUCGGGUGGAACACCAGUGGCGAAGGCGGAUCUCUGGGCCUUACCUGACGCUGAGGCGCGAAAGCUAGGGGAGCGAACAGG
rnacentral:rRNA from 1 species